CUUCCUCCUUAUUCUUUUUUCUCACAAUGGGUGUGUUCAGUCAAAAAACCUACUAAAGCUGGAAAAAGCUGCUGCUUGGACUUUCUGUGCGCUUUAUAUUUUGGGUGAGCAAAUUCUGGAGUGCUGCCAUGGACUCAGAUGUGAUUGUGUUUUAUCUUGAGUUGCACUGCACACCACACCACACCGGUGCGAAGUAGCCCUCGAGACAGGCUCUAUCUAAAAGAGCUCUUGGGCAAGCUGAUAAAGUUUCUCGCUCCUCUGUCUUCCCAGCACCUCUUUCACUCCACCCCUUAGCCCAGCAGGGAGCUGGUAUGUCUGCUGGCCUGGAGGAGCCCAUAGAUGAGGAGUUGCUGAAGGUCACACAGGAGCUCGAUACCCUGGAUCCCAAGGACACCCCCAUUGUAGAACAGCCAGCAGAAACACCAGUUCCAGAUGAGAGAACCAAAGGACUCUUCCUCCCUCAACCACCACCUCCAUGACAAAGACUAGGCUGUACAGGACCAUUCGGGGGGCUGGUAUCCCAUGACCACCAAGUGCCAUUGGUGUAAGAAGAAGGCUGGAAGGUUCUAAAAGCACCAGAAGGAAUAGACUGGGGGUGUGCUGGAGCAGGCAGUUAGCGUCGUCUCUGCUCUAGCUCAUGCUGCCGACCCUCUCCCUCCGGCAAAGGGGCUGUGCAGGUGGGACAAGGACAGUCGUUUGACUACGACGUCCCCAAGGAGCAACGUCAAGAAAAGGGUCUGCCGCCUCCACCGCCUCCUCUCACCUCAGGCAGCGCACUCCCUCCUCUCGCUCCAGCAUCCAGCACCACUCCGUCUGCCUCCACCGCUUCUCUGACUCCUCGUCCAGUAACAGUAUGUGCACUAAUAUCCAUUAUU